rnacentral:lncRNA from 1 species
CCCGUAAUUCCGUUCCUCGUCGAAGUCCUAAGUCCUAACAUAAAAAUUUUCGUAGGAUUUUCAAUUAAGCAUCAUGUUAUUUUAAAAAAAGUCAGCCAUGUCACUGUCAGCAUGUCAGCUAUGGAAUUGUUUUAUGUGGAAUGCGUUGUAAAAUUUUCUUUUCGUUUUUUCUAGUAGUUUCUCUACUGCAUGAUCAAUCGUAAUUCAUUUGUUAGACACUUAAACAAGUCACGUUUUAAGGAAAUGUUUGAAACCACUUUGGAUUCCCAGACUGCAUCGUGAACCACAUCGUGUGACUACAACAGUUGAAGCAUGAAUUCUUCUUGUGUGCAUCGGAUUUUCAAUCUCUGUUCUGUAAGUGGUGGGUGUUGCAAGAAAUUUAUUUUCUCAGGAUCUGUGUCUGGCUAUCAUCUGGCUGCUUCAACAACUCAAUGCAAAAGUUUAACUGUGAACGUGAGUCUUGAGAUUAUUGGGUUCACAAGUGUGAGUGGCAAGUAACACUCUGACUUCUCCCCAGAAAAUGUAUCAACUGCCAGCAACCAUGCAGAUGAUGGAUUUGAAAAGAUUAUAGCUUUGAAAGCUUUUCAGUUUCCUCCAGAUCUCAAUUUUGGUAAUCAAGUUUAAGCUCUCCUUCAUCAGGGUGAUGUGACGAACCAUUUAAAUUCGGCUAGUCAACAUUCCGUUUUUAUGCUUAUCCGUUUGGAGUAGGAAAUCUCUUAUUACUCAAAUAUAUUUACUGAAUAAUUAUUCAGUAAAGACAGUUUAUCCCGUUUCCCCCGACUCGUGUGCUUGAACCUCUAAGACGCGACUUACUUGAAAGACAAUAUUGCGCAAACGAUGUAGGAAAAGAAGAGGGCGAGAAAAAUAACGCGGUAAUGUCCAAACACUGAAACCUGUUAAGCGAAGGUUGCUGUAUUGAGUAGCGCAUCAAAACGGAGUUUAGUUCGUCUUCUGUUCACUGUCUUACUAAUUCGUUCCAUACACUGGAUGGUACCGUCCAUCAGAUUGGACCUGCAGAACGCACAGUCGCGGAAGUAAGGCGGUUGUGCUGCCACAUCUUUCUACAGUAAAUGCAAUGGCAGGUUGAUCAUCUAUGUCAUCCUCCAAUUAGAAUUGAAGGUGAAUCUGGACUUUCGGCCAGUGUAGCAAAGACCGGACGCCAGGUUUUGUUCCAACUCCACAACUUGCCAAACAUCUGGCAGCCUGUCUUCAAUCCUAAAAGUGGCGGAGUGUCUGUUCGUGAGUGAAUGAAGCAAGUUCGCCAUUUGCUUUUGAGACGGUGGACCACAGGUGGACGGAAAUGUCAAAUGUGAUGCUGUGUUUUUUGUUUUUUUUUUUACAUGUUAAAAUGCUGAAGUAAUUUCACACAAUUCGACCAAGCUGAAUCGAAAGUGAACAACUCUUAAAGCAAAUUUCCAUGGUCAGUUUGAUGUUUGAGCUGCCUAUGGUGUUGCUGUUUGGUGUACAGUGGUUUUGCAGUCAUUUUCCAGUUGAGAGAUAUUCUGAAAUGGAGCUUGUGGAGACUUGCAGUUCAACAUCAUACUAUAAUGUGUUAUUUGCCUAUGUUGGUGUCCAUGCAGUAUAUGCAGUGAUGAACAGUUGGGCUAGUCAAUGUUGCCUGUGGCCGUCUGGCUUAUUUUAUCGGCUGCAUUUUGUCGAUAUGUCUUCUCUUGCUACCUGUACCGUCGUUGAGUUGAUUCGUUUGCCGCCGUUCCUUAGACUUGAUCCACCGGUGAAACUAAGAAGACGUUGCUGAAAUUCAAGAUUGAUCAAAAAACUAUGUAGAUAAAUUACAAGUGCAUAAUCUGGGCUCCCUUCUUCAGUGGCCCCGUUUCCCUAAAUAACCACUAACCAACGCCCGCCGGUGGUCACUCACUCGCUGCGACAACCAGGAGGAAGGGAGAUGUUUGGUCGAACGGGGACUUGCAAGCCGCUUGAUUCGAUGAAAUCUGUUGGAGGGUCAUGAGUCUAAGCCGGAAGUCUUCUAUGAUGCAUUGCUCUCUUAAAAACUGUUCCUCGACUCUCUUCGCUCUAUUUCCGGUUUCUCUUAACCAUGGCCGGGUAAUCUCCCUGGUCGAGUCAGUCGGGCAGUGUCUUCCCCUGCUUGACUGGCUGCAGUUUGAACCGGACGGUCUGUUAAAAUAAGAAUUUAAAUCUAGAACAACGCCUUUGAGCGGCCCGGACAAUCCUGAAUCCUUUAGGGUUGCCAUUCCAUCGAGGCUUAAACGAGGAUGACGCGGAGGUGUUGCCCAUUGAGGGGUUUUGGUGACAAGGAGUCAAUGAACGAAAUGCUAAACCAAAUAAAAAAAAUAUUAAAAAAGACCCAUCCCCAGCAACGUCAACCUGCAGAAAGAAAAAGGCCAGUUUCUAUGGCCUUCAGACUCGAAGAUCGCGGAGAUAACUACGUAAAACUGGCAUGGGGUGGCGUAGAGGUUGGGUGAGAAUGACACGUUUUUCAACAUUAUCAAGCAGACCCAUCCCCGGCAAAGUCACCUGCAGAAGGAAAGGCCAGUUUGCAUUUCAAUUGAAG